ACAUAUUAACAGUUAAACAAUCUUAAUAUCAAAGUUGUACAAAUGAAAAAAAAAAAAAAACAGAGAGAAACAUACAUGAGCUAUUUAUCUUGCAUAUAGUCCAAGUAUUCACCAGGUCCCAAUUAUGCCUAUAUCCCCCAAUCAACAUAUAGUCCAAGAUUGUAUUGAAACCAUUUGAAUUAGUUACACUAGUACGUACUACCGUUUCAUACCAAAACCCAAACAAAAAAAAUCAAAUAGAAGUAAAAAACUUAAACUUCCUUUCUUGAGCAAAUGAAACAUAGGCAAAUGACGGUAAAAACAAACGAAUAAAAUCAAAAUUGAAUUCAAGUAUCUAAAUUUAAUCAUGCCCAGAUCAAGAAUCUCAGGGAACUUGCAUCAAACUGGAGCCAAACCCAUCUUCUUGUGCACACUAUAACAUACACUACACCUCUCUCCCACAAGAAUUUUAAAAAAAAAAUACACAGCAAGAGACUCUGAAGCAUACUAAGUUCCCAAAAUCAAAAAAAAAAUAUAUAUAUAAAAAAGAAGCAAGAUUAUAACAAGUCAAGUGGGAGUGUAAGUCAUGAGAGUUACUUCUUUUAUACUAUCAAUUGCCAUUCCAAGUUGAAUAUCAACACCCUAGUGAAGGGUAGAGAACGGAGGUUAUUUUAUAAAAUAUGAAGUUAUUGAUAAAGAGUGAAUUUCAUUCCCCAAAUAUAAAUGCCUGAAAAUAACUUUCUAAACUCUGACAGAUGUUCAAAGCCCAAUCUCAGAACCCUAUCCCAAAUGAACCCACCUCCCUCAAAGAUAUAAUUAUUCGUUCCAUCCACACAACCCACAAAGAUGCUAUCAUAUCACAUCUUCCCAAUACAGUUCCCUUCUUUGUGGCCAGCAAAGAGCUUAUAUUUCUCUGCCAACAAUGCAUUACAUGAAGCUGGGUUAUCUGAGUACACAUUUUACUUCCCGGUCACCAUAUUGAUGUUAUAGUCAAAUAUAAGUCAAGUCAGCAUAUUAGUGAGGUCGAGUUAAAGUAACUCCAAGAUUCUUGAUGUACAAGGCAUAAGACUAAACAAUCAAUUUCACUUCCCCUGAGAAACAUAACUUACAAGAAUUGAAGAAAAAACAAACUCAAUAUUAA